rnacentral:lncRNA from 1 species
AGGUGGUUGACCUGUUAGUCAAUCCUAAAGAUGAGCAGGUUGUUUCUGUUGUACCUAUAGUAGGUAUGGCAGGUCUUGGCAAAACUGCAUUGGCAAAGCUGGUGUAUGAUGAUCUGCGUGUGAAAAGGCAUUUUGGUGUCAAAUCCUGGGUCUGUGUUUCUGAUCAUUUUAGUGUCAAAAAGAUUUUAGGAGCGAUGUUUGAACAGCUUACUGGUGAUAGACAUACCUCAAUGCCAGAAAAUAUGAAUGCAAUGAUUAUGAAGCUCAAGGAGAGGAUAGAAAAGGAUCAGAGCAAGUAUCUUCUUGUCCUUGAUGAUGUCUGGGAUGUUGAGAAAUGGGAGGAACUACAGCUUUGUCUGAAAGGAGUUAGUACAAAUGGUGGGAAUGGAAUUAUUGUCACAACACGCAUUCAAGAUGUAGCAUCAAAAGUGCAAGCCCUUCCAAAUCGAAGGCAUCAAGCAGGAAGACUAGAAGAUGAAGAAUGUUGGUCCAUAAUUAAACAACGAGCAUUGAUGGACUCUCCAAUAUCUCACGAAUUAGAGUUAAUUGGAAAGGAAAUUGCUAAGCAAUGUCGAGGAGUGCCGUUGGUAGCUAAACUUAUGGGAGGGAUAAUGGGCAAAAUUGAAAUGAGUCCUCGCGCAUGGUCGAAAAAUCAAAGAACUGAUGCAUGGGGUUCAAUGGAAAGUGUGUUAAAGUUAAGUUUCGAUCACUUGUCUUCUCCAUAUGUGAAGAAGUGUUUUGAAUACUGUGCCAUGUUUCCUAAAGAUUAUUGCUUUGGGAAAGAGGAAUUGAUCCAACUGUGGACGGCUGAAGGAUUUCUUGGCAGCUCUAUGGAAAUGGUAGAUAUUGGUGACCAAUACUUGAAUGAAUUGUUAUCAAAUUCCUUAUUUCAAGAUGUCAAGAAGGACAAAUUCGGGAAUAUUCUCACAUUCAAGAUGCACGACUUGGUGCAUGAUUUAUCUUUGUCUGUGUCAAAGUUUGAUACUUUGUUUUUUCGAGAAAAUUCCACUCUCACCUCAGCUCAGUGUUCUCAUAUUCGUCAUCUCAAUGUUGGAUGUGACGGGAAAUUAUUACCAGAAAUCUUAAAGAAGGUAGCUCCACACUUACACUCACUGUUUUCUGAGAUUGAUGUGUUCAAGCAACUAUCAAUAAGCUUCACAAGAUUACGAGUCCUAAAGUUUGUCGGUGCUAAUUAUGUUCUUGAGUUGCCAGAUUCCCUUGGAGAAUUGAAGCACUUGAGGUAUUUGGACAUCUCAGGGACCUUUAUCAAAGCACUGCCUAAGUCCACAGCUAAACUUUACCAUCUCCAAACAUUAAGGCUCUUGGAUUUGCCGAGACUCACCCUUCCAGAUGGAUUGGAAAAUUUGAUAAGCUUGACGCACUUAUAUUUUGAUAGUCAAGAAGUUCAGCCAAAUAAUAUUGGAAACCUAACUUGUCUUCAAACAUUACCCCUAUUUGUUGUGGGUUCAGAAAGGGGACGUUCGAUUAAGGAGCUAGGAUCCUUAAACGAACUGCGUGGAAAACUGAAGAUAUGCCAUCUUGGGGGUGUUAGAGACAAACAAGAGGCUAAUGGAGCAAAUCUGCACCGUAAAGAAAAAUUAUGCAAGUUGAUAUUUGAUUUUGAAGGGAGUCACAGUGGGGGUGGUUAUAACUGUGACGAAGUGAUGGAAGGUCUCCAACCUCACUCAAAUUUGCAAAGCUUAAUUGUUAGGAAUUAUGAAGGUGAAAGCUUUCCCUCAUGGAUGUUAAAACCUGUUGGUGAUUCUAAUACUGGUUUGUUUUUGCUUAACAAUUUGAUGGAGCUGAAUUUUUACGAUUGCAUCAACUGUGAAAGUCUUCCACCUCUGGGCCAAUUGCACAAUCUCCAGUUUCUUGAGUUGAGAAAUAUGAAGAAAGUGAAACACAUGGGUAAUGAAUUUUAUGGCAACGAAGGUAUUGAUGGUAUGAAUAAGGUGAUCAAGGUGUUUCCUGCAUUGAAAAAAUUCACCUUAAAUGGGAUGGCAAAUCUUAAAAAAUGGACAGCAAUGGCGGCGACAAAGACGAUCAUGUUUCCUUGCUUGGUGGAGCUGAAUAUUUGGGAUUGUCCCAUGUUGAAAAGUGUUCCACUUACGGGACAAUGUUCAUCUCUUGAAAAGCUUAGCAUUUUCGAUUGCAAAAACUUAAGCAAGAUUGGAGACGGAUUAUCUACCUCCACUUGUCUCAAAGAAUUAGCUCUAAAGAAUUGUCCUAAUUUAAGUUGGAUUCCAAAUUUGGAAGGAUUUUCCUCUCUUCAAAAUCUGUCAAUUGAUAGCUGCAAUGAAUUGGAAGCUCUUCCAAUAACUGGGAGGUGUUCAUCUCUUGAAAAGCUUAGCAUUCUCGAUUGCGAGAAAUUAAGAAAGAUUGGGUACGGUUUAUCUACCUCCACUUGUCUUAAAGAAUUAGAGCUAUUGUGGUGUCCUAAUUUAACUUCCAUUCCAAAAUUGGAAGGAUUUUCGUCUAUUCAGAAUCUGUCAAUUGAUAGCUGCAUCAAAUUGGAAGUUCUUGAGAUAUCCGGAGGAUGUUCAGUUUUUGAAAAGCUUAGCAUUUCCAAGUGUAAAACAUUAUCCAAGAUUGGAGACAGAUUAUUUACCUACACUUGUCUCAAAGAAUUAAAUCUAGAAGAUUGUCCUAAUUUAAGUUCGAUUCCAAAUUUGAAAGGAUUUUCGUGUCUCCAAAAUCUGUCAAUUCAUACCUGCAACGGAUUGGAAGUUCUUCCGAUAUUUGGAGCAUGCUCAUCUCUUGAAAAGCUUAACAUUUUCGGUUGCGAAAAAUUAAGCAAGAUUGGAGACGGAUUAUCUACCUCCACUUGUCUCAAAGAAUUAGGUCUAAAGAAUUGUCCUAAUUUAAGUUUAAUUCCAAAUUUAGAAGGAUUUUCCUAUCUUCAAAAUAUCUCGAUUGAUAGCUGCAACGGAUUGGAAGUUCUUCCAAUAAUUGGAAGGUGUUCAUCUCUCGAAAAGCUUAGCAUUUCCGAUUGCAAAAAAUUAAGCAAGAUUGGAGACGGAUUAUCUACCUCUACUUGUCUCAGAGAAUUAGGUCUAAAGAAUUGUCCUAAUUUAAGUUGGAUUCCAAAUUUGGAAGGAUUUUCCUCUCUUCAAAAUCUGUCAAUUGAUAGCUGCAACGAAUUGGAAGUUCUUCCGAUAACUGGAAGGUGUUCAUCUCUUGAAAAGCUUAGCAUUUUCAAUUGUGAAAAACUGAGAAAGAUUGGAGACAAAUUAUCUACCUUCAUUUGUCUCAAGGAAUUAGGUCUAAAGAAUUGUCCUAAUUUAAGUUGGAUUCCAAAUUUGGAAGGAUUUUCCUCUCUUCAAGAUCUGUCAAUUGAUAGCUGCAAUGAAUUGGAAGUUCUUCUGGUACAAGAGUUUCAAGGAAUAGAAGGCUUUCCUGAGUGGUUGGGAAAUCUCUCUUCUCUAUGGCGUCUAAGUUUGAUUGGUUUUGGAAAGCUAAAGAGUUUUCCUCACCAACUUCAACACCUCACUGCCCUUGAAGAUUUGACUAUGUCGGGGUUUCAUGAAAUAGAAGCCUUGCCAGAGUGGCUGGGAAAUCUCUCUUCUCUAAAGCGUCUAUAUUUGAGUGGUUUUCGAAAGUUAAAGAGUUUUCCUCACCAACUUCAAUUCCUUUCUACCCUUAAAUAUUUGACUAUAGAAGAGUUUCAAGGAAUAGAAGCCUUUCCGGAGUGGUUGGGAAAGCUUUCUUCGCUAAGGUAUCUAUAUUUGAGUGGUUUUGGAAAGCUAAAGAGCCUUCCUCACCAACUUCAACUCCCCAGUGCCCUGGAAGAUUUGACUAUGUCGAGGUUUCAUGAAAUAGAAGCCUUGCCAGAGUUGUUGGGAAAUCUCUCUUCCCUAAGGCGUCUGCAUAUCAAUUCAUGCAAUAAACUCAUGUACCUGCCUUCUGUAGAUGUUAUGCGAAGCCUCUCCAAAUUAAAAACAAUUGACAUUUUGAUGUGUCCUCAAUUAGAGACAAGAUGUGAGAGGGAGAGUGGCCCUGAAUGGUCCAAGAUUUCCCACAUUCCACAAAUAAUUUUUAAUGGUCGGAGGUAAGUUCAAUAUCUUAAACCACAACUCUUACCUCUUUAGGCUUCAUAUAAUUAGUAUCCCCUUUCUAUUUGGUUUAGUCUCUUAUAAAACUUCCUUUUGAUUUUCUUUUGGUCUCUUUUUGGCAUUAUUCUGCAGGAUCUAGUUUGGGCACGGAUACCUUUAAGACUCUGUUUGCGAGCAAAAUUAUGGAUAGAAAAGUAAGCAUUUCUUAUGACAAAUUAGCCAAUUCUUCUCUACUCCAAAAUAUGUAGACAGUAUUUAAAACUGAUGGCAGAAACUUGAUCAUUUAAUAGUUAAAAGCUGCAUCAAAUCACUUCCAACAUACAUGUUGAAGUAUCUCAUUCCUAGCAUUGAUUUCUAUGGAACUAUUUGUAGGCUGUUCUUUUAGUCUAUUGAAGCACUGAAUGUUUUCUAUGAUUAUCUUUGCAAUUGACAAACUGGUUUUUAUGUUUUUAUUUGACAAAGAUUUUGUGGAUAUGGUAAGUCCCUUUCUAUAUAUAGUCAUUGCAAUGUACAACUAUAAAUUCAAUCACAUUGCAAAUGAGCCUCAUUUAAUUCCUGAACAUUACCAUAACUCCAUAAAACAUUCAUUUAGUUUGGAGCUACAAGUCUCAUAUAUUGCUUUGUUCAUCCUUUGUUUUCUGCUAUUCUAUUGCUUCUAAUUUAAGGACGAUGAAAUUUUCAUGGUUUAACCUUUUGUUAAAGCCAGUACUGCUUAUAUUUCAUGAAUUAUCCAGUAUCUACUCAUGAAAAUUUUGAAUUCUCUUUGGAUGUGAAGGGAGAUGUUGAUAGGGCUUGCGUCAGUGUAUUGUUAUCCUUUCCAACAUUGAAGAGCUAUAAUAUAAAAGACAGCUUUGGUUCACCAAUGCAGUGUUGAUCAACUCUUCGAUCGGGGGCUUAUCUGAGGUUUGUCUGAGCUGAUUUUUGGAUAAUGGCUAGUAGGCUUGAGGAUUUCAAUUUGGAUUUUCCAUACGAUUGGGUAACUUUAGGGGUUUUUUUUUAUGAAUUAUAAUAAUAGGAUAAAGUCUGAAUUACAAAUGUUUUUUUUGUUUCUCUUUAAUCUGCAUGAAAUAAUUAACUUUGUUGGAGGUAUAUGUUCUUUAUUGGCUUUGGAUUGUGAUUUUGUAGCAAAACUUUUGAAUAUAGUAAAGUUUUUAUAUGGACUUUCAAGUCCCGUGGUUUUUAUCCUUUGUUUUAAAGGAGUUUUCCACGUAAAAAAUCAUGUGUUUCGUUUAAUUUAUUUUUCAUGAUUAUUAUGUUUUAUUUUAUGUUGAUUAAUAAUAUAUUGUGUUAUUAAAGUUAUCGUAAUUAUUAAUUGAUAUUUAUUAAAAGCUAAAGAACACCAAUUAUACUAAUGUAUUGGGUUCCAUCCCAUCAAUAUUCAAAGAUUGCCCCACAUUCAAGUGAUAUCCAUUUUCCUUGGCUGCAAUUUUUUGUUAGUUAUAUGAAGCAACAAUGUUGUUAAAUUAUCUAAUUUCAGUCCAGACAACAAGGGAAAUAGCAACCAUAUAUAUAUACCAUUAUAGAUAGAAAGAUCCAAUGGCCUCUCAAAAGUUUUUAAAACAGCUACAGUUACUAUGCAGCACCACUGAAGGUGGGAGCAAAAGGUGCUCAUAUAAAAAACAGCAUGAGUUUUUAUGCCAAACUAUUUUUAAAUUUGAAAAUGGUUUACUACUUGUUAUAUACUAAUUAAAAUCUCCUAAAAUUUAAGUCAUGAGAUCCCUGUUAGAGGUGGUAAUGCGAAUGACAGUCUCAAUCUAUAAUAUAUUUAUACUUGUUUAAGUCGAAUUUAAUCCGACAUGUAAUUUAAAAUUUUUUUUCAAGUCAUUCAUAUUUCUUAAUCGCUCAUAUUUCUUAAAUUCUAAACCCGUUCGUUUUAGGCUCACUCUUAUGUUUAAACCUCGAUUCACAAUGUAAAUGAUGAUGAUGAUUACCAUAAUGAUUUAUCUCUAAUUGAUUUCAUGGGUCAGGCCACGAAUUUUGCUGCAAAAACUUCCACAUCCAAAAUUUUGAUACCGCAAAAAGAAAAUAAAUUGAUUAAUUUAACUUUAAACAUAAAUGAUUAAUUCAAGUUCGAAAUUCACCACACGCAAUUAAAAUAUGUGGAUUUUGAAGUUUAAGUUAUGUUAGUUAAUUUAUAAUUUGGAUUUAGACAAACUCCUAGUUUAUGCUAUAAUAAUUUGAUUUUUUUUGUUUUAAUUCUUAAUCUAUUUAUGCUAUAAUAAUUUAAUUACACACCAAGUGAUUAUUAGGACAUGUAUUUAUAUAUAUACUUUAAUUAUAUUCUACUUAUAAAUUUUAAAAAUAAUUAUUAUAUGAAUUAUUCACAUAUAUAUUAUUAAAUAUAUCAUUUCCUUUGUAGAUUGGUUUAUAGUUAAAAUAUUAUUACUAUAUGGGUCAUAAUUUAUAUUUCCAAAAGGUUAAAAAUAUAAAAUCUCUUGUCUGACCCGACCGUCAGGUUCGAGCCAUAGGAUGCUACAAUUGUUGUUGGAAUUUUCUCACUCAACACACGUGCGAUGUCAUGAUGAGAAAGCAUGGGAUGUCGUGACGAUGCUACAUAUUACUUAAGUAAGUAGCCACGUUUUAAACUCCUAGCAAAGUUCUGUCUCCCAGUUUUGAUUACUUCAAGGAUAUUUUAAUAUAAUUAGACCUCAAAUCUUAGUCUAUUUAAAGGGGUCAUUGUAUCUCUAUUUUAAUGGGUCAAUUAAGAGAGACAAAAUGUAGUCCUAAGAUGAGUUUUAGAGAAAGUUUCGUGAUAGCCAUCAAGAAGAACUUUGUACCCAAGUUAGGGCUUUUAUAUUUAGGAUUUGGGUUUUGUACAUUUAGUACAUUUAAAUUUAGAUGUAAUCUAUAUUGUACUUUUAUUUGUUUACUCAUAUUCUAAAGAAAAACUGAAGCCUCUUUACUUAUAACUUUUUAUCCUCCUAACUUAAUGUUUUCCACGAUGAAAUUUGUGUCUUAAUUAUACAAUUACAUGAAUAAAUUCUUGGUAAUUGAAAGCAUAUUUUUUAGUAAAAAAAAAAUUAAAAGUAUAUCUUCCAUAUUUCCACGAAAUUUAUUUCUUGGUAAUUGAAAAAUAUAAGAUAUAUUAUUUAUGGGAAAUUAAUUUACCUUUUAAUAAGUCUUAAGAUAUAAUUUCCAUAAAUAUUAUUAGAUAAUUAAUGAAUGUGAGAGAUUUUUAAAAUUUUUAAUUUACUUAUUUAAAAUCUUUAAUUAAUUUUUAAUUAAUUAAUAAUUGCAUAUGCUAAUUUUAUACAAUGCAAAAUGUAAAAACAUAAUUAAUUAAUUAAUAAUUUUCUUCUAAGAGUAACACACUUUUGACAAGAUCAUUGAACGAGUACUUUUUAAGUAGCUUACGUAAUGGUAUGCAAUAAGUGAGAGCUCAGUCACAAUACAUUACUGGAAUGAAUUCAUGACUAAAUAAAUUUAUAAUGAAUAGGUGAAAAGUCGAAACUUAAUUAUAAAUUAUUUUAGUCCCCAUUGCAUAUCUAAUUGGUCUUUCUUCUAGCUUGUUGAAACAAUGAAUAAAUUGCAUGUAAAACCAAAUAAAUAGAAAUGAAAAGAAAUGAUUAAGUAAGAGAAAUGAAUCGCAUUUACAGUGAACAUGGUUUUUUCGCUAAGUACAGAAAAUGACUUGAGAAUUAAUUUUAGGUUUUUCGGGUUAUUAUUUAAUUAUAAUUGAAACUUGAAAAUUAAAUUCAAUUAAUUGUAAAUUACACCAACAAUCACUCAACUUUGAUAUAUCUGACAGAACAGUACUCUAGUUUCAAUUUAGUCGCUCAAUUUUUGAAAAAUGAUAAAUCGAUCACUAACGUUAUCGAAAAGUGACAAAUCAGUCACCCACUAACAUUUUUCGUUAUAAACUUAACAUUUUUCGUUAAGGGAGAGGGUCGCAUUCUUGUAAGGUAAGAGAUUAGGGAUGAUGUAGAGGCUGUCAUUGAUGAAUCAAAGGUGACCUGAGUGGAGAAAUUUUUUUUCUUUAUUAUUAUUCUUCUUGGACUACUACAAGUUAAAUGGGGUAUGUUGUAGAGGCUGUCGUUUCCACGUAGGAUGCUAAUAUGGCAAGUUAAUUGGCCACCUCAACUUUCUGUUACGUCUGUAAUGGUAGUGAUCGAUUUGUCAUUUUCUAAAAAUUAAGUGACUGAUGAAACCAGAGUGACUGUUUUGCCAACUAUAUCAAAGUUGAGUGCUGUUGGUGUAAUUUACCCUUAAAUUAAUUAGUCAUUAUGAAUUUGUUGAAUAAAUAUAUUUCCUUAUUGAUUCUAUUACAGUAAAGUUUUUAUGAUUUUUAGCGGUAGUAGAAUUGAGUUUAGAAACUAAUUAAAUUAAUUAAUAUUUAUUUUGAAGAAUAAAAAAUAAUUAUUUGAUAUGACUAAAUUAUAAAAUGUUAAGCCAAAAAUUAAAUAAAUACAUAUAUUAGACCCAAUACAUAAUAGACCUAUCUUAACCCUUGUGUGAACACAAGGGGCGACAACCUUGAUAAUAUUAACAAGGGUGUGUUGUGCCUCCUCGCUCUAAUUAGAGUGGGAGUAUAUUUUUAUUUAAAUAACAUUAUUUAUUAAGGGCUUGCUCAACCAGGGUUCUUGUAGCUUAACUGUAAAUAGAGAGCACUGGUUGAAUUAAAAACACACUUCAUAAAUUAUCUAGUUAUCAUUAUUUUGCUACAAAGUAUAUGUAAUUUAUUUCUUUAGAAUAAAUUUUAUUUUCGGAGAAUUUCGAUCUAUACCGAUCUUUGUAGAGAGAACUAACUUUCCUACGGGAAGUGAGUAAUAUUUUCUAUUCUUUGGUUCGUGUUGCUUGAACUCACACUCAAUGUAAUUCGUGAAACGAGGAUACCAGAGAAUGUUAUUCAGUUGAAAGUAGGAAUUGACAUGAAUCCAUUUCUCACAAAGCACAUAUAUUAUAUAUAUAGGAUCGACAUGAGUUAAACUUAGGUAUGAUAUUAAUACACUUUAUAUUUGCCCAAAUGUAACCAGACUCAAAAUAUGAACUUAAAUUUUUGCUCAAGUUUACUCGUAUUUAUAAAUUAUAAUUCAAUUCCAUUUUAGGCUCAUCCAUUUUAUUUUUUAAAUAAUUUAAAAUAUAUUUAUAUUAUUUUUAAUUUGAUAUUUAUUAAAAUGUAAUAUAUAAACAUCUUAAUAAUUUUUUAAUAUUUAUAUUAUAAUAAUAUUAUUUACAAUUAUAAAUUUAAUUUUAUAUAACUCGGUUGAUAUUUUAAGCGAAAUAAAUGUUACAGAAACUUUGAACAGAGUCAUGAAUCAAGAGGUAUAUGAUGGAUGACAUUUAAAAGACAGUGUAGUAUGAUAACAAAAGAGAAGGAGCACUGUUCUAACCUAAGAUCAUACGUUUAACGUACCACUUGCCUGCCACUUGAACGCAAAAGCUUUAAAGCUGCAAUGAUAUGACAACACGGCCAUUGAGAGAUGAUAAAAAUAAAAUUUAAUACAUUUAUCAAUAUUACGCAUAAUUCUUUAAUAUAUGAAUGUAUAAUAAAAUAUAAUAUUCAUGUAAAGAAUCAAUGAGAUUUCACAAAACUCACUUCAAUUCAAUUUUACUGAAGCAACUCAUCUUUCAUUUCUUCUCUCCAUUUCGUUUCCUGGACUCGAUAUCUUGUUGCUUUAAUUUUCUGGGUUAGAUUCUUUUCUUCUUUAUUUUCAAUGAUAUUUUUUUUUCAUGUUAUUUCUUAACAUUUCAAUCCUUUCAGAUUACAGAAGCAAAGAUGGCAGAAGUUCUUUUGGGUGCUAUUUUGGAAGAAGCGGUGUCUAAAGCGAAUUCAAUUGCCACUAACCAAAUCAGCCGUAUAUGGAAUUUCAAGAAGGAGCUGACAAGACUGGGUGACUCACUAGAAAUGAUGGAAGCUUUCUUGCAAGAUGCAGAGGAAAUGCAAACAAAGAAGGACGCAGUGAAGCUUUGAGCUUUGGUUGCAGAGGCUCAAAGAUGUUGCUGAUGAGGCUGCUGAUGUACUUGAUGAGUUUGACUGUGAAAUUCUCCGGGGGAAACUGAAGAUUCGGAACCAAAUUCGAAGGAAGGUACUCGACUUCCUUUCUUCUAACAAUUCCAUUUUAUAUCGUCUCAAGAUGGCUAAAAAAAUUAAGGACAUCCUUGAAACACUGGAUGGCCUUAACAAAGACACCAGUUCAUUUGGUCUUCAGCAGAGAGCUACAGAACAUGUGUCUCCUGUACCUAGAAGAUCAAAUGUCGAGACGUUCUCUGUCAUGGAUGACUCGACCAUUGUUGGAAGGGAAAAUGAUAUCUCAAAGGUGGUUGACCUGUUAGUCAAUCCUAAAGAUAAGCAGGUUGUUUCUGUUGUACCCAUUGUAGGUAUGGCAGGUCUUGGCAAAACUGCAUUGGCAAAGCUGGUAUAUGAUCUGCGUGUGAAAAGGCAUUUUGAUGUCAAAUCCUGGGUCUUUGUUUCUGAUCAUUUUGAUGUCAAAAAGAUUUUAGGGGCGAUGUUUGAACAGCUUACUGGUGAUAGACAUACCUCAAUGCCAGAAAAUAUGGAUGCAAUGAUGAUGAAGCUCAAGGAGAAGAUUGAACAGGCCAAAGGAGAAAAAGAUCAGAUCAAGUAUCUUCUUGUACUUGAUGAUGUGUGGGAUGUUAAGAAAUGGGAGGAUCUAAAGCUCUGUCUG